CCUACGGGUGGCAGCAGUGAGGAAUAUUGGUCAAUGGACGAGAGUCUGAACCAGCCAAGUAGCGUGAAUGAUGACUGCCCUAUGGGUUGUAAACUUCUUUUAUCUGGGAAUAAAAUGUUCCACGUGUGUGAUUUUGUAUGUACCAUAUGAAUAAGGCUCGGCUAACUCCGUGCCAUCAGCCGCGGUACUACGGAGGAUCCGAGCGUUAUCCGGCUUUAUUGGGUUUAAAGGGAGCGUAGGUUGAUUGUUAAGUUAGUUGUGAAAGUUUGCGGCUCAACCGUAAAAUUGCAGUUGAAACUGGCAGUCUUGAGUACAGUAGAGGUGGGAGGAAUUCGUGGUGUAGCGGUGAAAUGCUUAGAUAUCACGAAGAACUCCGAUUGCGAAGGCAGCUCACUGGACUGCAACUGACACUGAGGCUCGAAAGUGUGGGUAUCAAACAGGAUCAGAUACCCGGGUAGUC
rnacentral:rRNA from 1 species